rnacentral:rRNA from 1 species
GAUGAACGCUGACAGAAUGCUUAACACAUGCAAGUCCACUUGAACUUCGGUUUGGGUGGCGGACGGGUGAGUCACGCGUAAAGAACUUGCCUCACAGAUAGGGACAACAUUUGGAAACGAAUGCUAAUACCUGAUAUUAUGAUUUUAGGGCAUCCUAGGAUUAUGAAAGCUAUAUGCGCUGUGAGAGAGCUUUGCGUCCCAUUAGCUAGUUGGAGAGGUAACGGCUCACCAAGGCGAUGAUGGGUAGCCGGCCUGAGAGGGUGAUCGGCCACAAGGGGACUGAGACACGGCCCUUACUCCUACGGGAGGCAGCAGUGGGGAAUAUUGGACAAUGGACCAAGAGUCUGAUCCAGCAAUUCUGUGUGCACGAUGAAGUUUUUCGGAAUGUAAAGUGCUUUCAGUUGGGAAGAAAAAAAUGACGGUACCAGCAGAAGAAGUGACGGCUAAAUACGUG